GUUUGUCAUCGAUCGAAAGUGCUAAUAAAACAUUAUUUUCAUCUUUACGCGUUUAACGGUGUUUGUGUUGUAUUAUAUUAUUUAAUUGACUUGAAAGAAGGCGCGCACGUCUAGUAUUUCCUGAUUAAUUAUAUACAAAGGUGUCUAUCGGCCGAACCCGAUGUCGUAGCACCACGUCUUUUUCACCAAAUUGUAGGUGUCUAUCGGCCGAACCUGAUGUCGUAGGACCACGUUUUUUUCACCAAAUUGUAGGUGUCUAUCGGCCGAACCUGAUGUCCUAGGACCACGUUUUUUUCACCAAAUUGUAGGUGUUUAUCGGCCGAACCCGAUGUCGUAGGAACACGUCUUUUUCACCAAAUUGUAGGUGUCUAUCGGCCGAACCUGAUGUCGUAGGACCACGUUUUUUUCACCAAAUUGUAGGUACUAAAAUUCUCUAUCAAUUAUGUAUAUAACUUGUGGGUUUAUCCCUUGGGAAACCUACGAAAAUGCCCUUUUUGUGUUUUUCGUUGUCUAAUUUUUGCUGUUUUAGGUGUCUAUCGGCCGAACCUGAUGUCGUAGGACCACGUCUUUUUCACCAAAUUGUAGGUGUCUAUCGGCCGAACCUGAUGUCGUAGGACCACGUUUUUUCACCAAAUUGUAGGUGUCUAUCGGCCGAACCCGAUGUCGUAGGACCACGUUUUUAUACGUUUUAUAUAACUUGUGGGUUUAACCUUCGGGAAACCUACAAAAUUAAAAUAAAAGUUCGGUAAUUUAAUUGCUUCA